rnacentral:rRNA from 1 species
AACGUAGGAGGCAAGCGUUAUCCGGAAUUACUGGGCGUAAAGGGCGUCUAGGCGGUAGGGUAAGCGGGAUGUGAAAGCUCCUGGCUCAACUGGGAGAGUGCGUUCCGAACUGCCGAACUACAGGCCAGGCGAUGGGGGUGGAAUUCCCGGUGAAGUGGUGAAAUGCGUAGAGAUCGGGAGGAACACCAGUGGCGCAAGCGGCCCCCAAGCCUGAGCCUGACGCUGAAGCGCGACAGCGUGGGGAGCAAACGGG